CUACAUUGAAAAUUCUAUAUUAUGAUUAAUAGGCACUUUCCUUCCAUUUUCCUGGCAUAGAAGAAAAAAUUGACAGAGGGACUUACCAAGAAAUGUGAAGUUCUAUGUAUUAAGGAUUAUUGAAGAAAGAAAAUGUGACAUUAAUUAGUAGAUAAGAAAAGAUAAAAUGUCUAAUGAGCAACUACAACAAUUUAAACCAGAGACUAAGACUAAUGAAGUUACAUAGGAAGAUGUAUUUGGUGAUAUUUUCUUAGGUUUUGUUUUCUUUUCCGGUGGUGAUCAGUGUUUGAACCCCGAAUCUUACAUAUAUUAUUCAUUGUUCAAAUCAACUGAUCUAAGCUCACGAUGAUCUUAGGUUUUGAACAUAAGGUCUUGAUCUCUUUUCCUUGAACUUGAAUGAUAUUUGAAAAUCCAUCUCCAACCCUUAAUACUUUUUCUUCUUUCCCUCUUAAUUCCUCUUUCAUUCAUAGUGAACCUACAUGAACCUCCAUCACCUCCACCACCACCGCCACCAGCAUCAUGUGUCAUGAAAUUUCCACCUCUUAUGCUUCCAAAAGCUGAGAGUGUAUCUGCCAUUUUUAAUUCAGAUGAAUAAUCAAGCUUUAAAUCAAUAAAACUAGACUCAUCCAUGCCUUUAAAAUCACUCUCUCUUAGUGAAAACACACGCCUAUUGUAGCUGCUUCCAUCAAUUUCCAUUACACCACUCUUUCUACCAUUUUCAUAUUCAUAGAAGAAAUCACUUCUUCUUGGUUCAGCUUCACUGUAACCACUUCUCCUACCUGAUUCUAACAUCAAACCACCAUUCACACCUGAACUUCUAGCUGCAGAAAUAGAGCUUCUAGCACCUGAUAAAACUGAAUCACCACCAUCUUCAGAUCCAAAUAUAGCUCCACCCCUGAAACUGCACAGAGAUCUUGAUCUUGACACACCUCCAUGAUGAUCAACCACCCACAUCUCAUUCUUCUCAUCAAACCCACCAACACUUCUACCACAAUCCUUGUUCUUCUUAUUCUUCCUAAAUAGCUUCCCAAUUCUCCAAAAACCAUGUCUUUUUAUAUCAACACAACUGCUACUACUUCUCUUAAGCACCACAACCUCUUCUUCUUCUUUCUCCUGCAUCUUGACCUUAGAAUUCAAAUGCUGAAAUGGAUUUGGGUUUGUCUCAUUCUUUUCAUUCUCAAUAAGAAAUGAGACUCUUCCAACACUUCCUACCUCAACAGAGCAUGAAUUUCGAUUCGAAGUGAUCUCAUCAGAGCAAGAACAAGAAGAAAGCCUUUGUUCUCCACAAUCUGAACACACAAGCUUGACCAAACGUUCUUUAAGACAGUAAGCACAGAUUCCUCCAGAAGAAGAAGAAGAAGAAGAAGGAUGCUUCUUACAUGGAAGAAAAUCAGAAGUAGAAUAGUAGCAAUCCAUGUCAUUGCUAUAAGCUUCAACACCUUUGUUUCUCUCCUUCAUUGCUUUACUCUAAACUAGAUUUAGUUUCAAAAGUAAAGUGAAAAAUGGUAAAGAGAGAGGUGUGAGUGAAAAAAGGAAAAAAGAAAAUACUUAGCUUGAAGAAGCAGAUUCUAUGAGUAAUAAAAAGUUGAGAAUUUUGAAUAUGAUUUUGAGGGUGCAUAGAAGCGUUUCCUUUACGUUUUCUUUGCAGAAAAAACAAAGAGUGAUAGAGAAAAAGAUAUGUGCAAGAAAAGAAAUAAAGCACUAGCUCCUGCAGGCAUUAUUGUGUAGGGAAGAGACUAAACUCUUUUGUGACUCCAUUACUUGUUACUAUCUACACUUGCAUCGCAUGCAUAUUUUGAUGAUAAGUAUAACUAUUAACUAUGUGCACUUAACCAAAAAAAGUUAUAAAAUCAAGAAAAAACAUCAAUCUUUCAUUUUAUGAACUGUCAACAACAUUUGAUGAUAAGGAUUUUUAUUUUUUUUUUCUCUCUUUUCCCUUGAUUUUUGCAAUGCUUUUUGACAAUAAAUACACCCCUCCAAUAACCACUUUCCCUGUGUCCCCUAAUUCCCAUUGAAUUAGUAGGUUGAGAAAGCAACACUUGAUAGACAUAGUAACAUGAGUGUGGCACGCAUACUCAUUUGUCCAUUCUCUUUUUAGCACCCUAUACCAUCAUUUCUUCAAGCCAAGUCAUAUUAGUCUGUUAAACUGUGUCCCUUUUACUUGUGCCUCAUACCCACGUGUCUCGCCGACACAUCUUUCUUGCGGAUCUCUCUCACUUGAAUAUAUAACAUCAGCAACAGUAUUCUGUCUCAUCAUUCCUUCUUUCUUUAGUUUAACCAAUAUUCCAUCCGUUUUAAAAUAAGUGUCG
rnacentral:lncRNA from 1 species